rnacentral:lncRNA from 1 species
UCGGGCAGGGGGAUUUGAACAUCUGGCAGCCCGAGUUGAAAUCAACCCGUCUCGGACGGUCGGGCAGGCAGGUAUUUCGAACACUGCUUGGAUAAAUUGUAUCUACUUUGUCAAGAGAAAAGUCGUGUCACGUGACAAGCAAAUUAGCCUGUUGUGUUAUGCUAAGUCACCAUUGCGCAGGGGUGGGAGGCAGCCAUUGUGGUCAACUACAAAAGUGAAACUGGCUACUGGUUGUUUGUAAAACUAGGACUGAUCUGACUGCAACAAAUGAAAUGAACUAGGCACUAUCAGGUGACAUGGGGCGUCUGUACAUAAUCCAUAACAUGCUGGCUAGCGUCGGCAGCAGGCUUGGUGGAAACUGGUUUCCACACAACAUCCUAUUCCUAUCUGUGCUGUAUGUUGUAUUCCAGACAACUGUGUAUAUAUAUAUGAUGAGGCUGCAAGUCAGGAGAGGGUAAGAUGAUGUAUGUGUUAAUGUGUCUGACUGGAUGUGUACAUCAUAGGUUUGUUGAAACUUCUGUUUGAGAGAGAAUGAAAGUCAGAAAUUCAUACAUUUAUGUCAUAAAAUCAUGCAAGAGACAAUUUAUCCAUCACCCAAAGUACUCAUUUCAAGAGCCAAAAAUGUUGAAGUGUAUUGAUAUAUUUAUCUACAGUUUAGGCAAGUUAAAUGUCACAGUCAUAAGUGGCAUCUUUUGAUAACAAAAAAAAAGAAAGUAUUUUCAACUUUAGGAUGCCUUAUAAGGAUAGUACCUGUUUAUUAGUUUGUAGUGAAUCUCUUACAAGAAGACUAAAUAACUUAGGUGUGAGCACUUUUUUAGCCAUUGACGUCAUCCCUGUCCCUGUCACUCUGGGUGGCCACACCUUGCUGAGUUAUCUCCCUUUAGUUGCCAGGAUCUGCUGAUUAUGGAUCCCUGGCUGACCCAAAUCCUUGGCACAAGCGGGAUUGGGUGGUCAGGCUUGCUGACUUGGUUGAUACAUGUCAUUGUAUCCCAAUUGCGUGGAUCGACGCUCUUGAUGUCAAUCACUGGAUUAUCUGCACCAGACUUGAUUAUUUACAGCCUGCCGUCUUUUGCUGGAAUAGUGCUGAGUGUGGUGUUAAUAAACAAACAAACAAUCAAAUUAUGGAUCCCUGGGCACCAUGUGUAGCGGUGUCAAUCUGUAUGAUUUAAAGCAUUCCGUCCAAAUUAAGCUGACGCAGCAAAUAUACGAAGCAGCAUUAAUGAUACACUGCAUGUUUCCUUGAUUCAAGGAAGGAUACAUUAUUUUAUAUGGUACAGUCUGUGCCAAAACACUUUGUAUCUGCUAGCCUUAUUAAGGGUCCAAGCAUCAGUAGAGUUCAGUGGUAUUUGGGCUGUCAUUACAAGACCUUACUAUACUGAACAAAAUUGUACUUGACUCAGGCUGGUGGCUAACAGACUGAUCUAGAUAGUUUGUACUCUAAUCUUCUCAAACUCCAAUUGUGCUGAGCCCCCUUGGUGUGUAGAAAGUCCUCUCUAGCCUAAAUACUGUUAUUAUCACCCCCUGCCAAACACUGUAUUUCUGUGCACACCAGAAACCUACGAGCCAGAAACCUACGAUCGUUGGUUCAAAUCCCAGUUGGUGCACGGGUGGCCCAGUUGUCUAAGGUGCAGCGAUUCGCUGUGCAGAGUUAUGUCCCUUGGACACGCCAGAAACCUAUGAUUGUGGGUUUGAAUCCUGGUUCGUCCUGAUUGUGUUUCUAGGUUUGUCAGGACCAUAUUUAGGUUUCAUCGAAGUGAAGACCUUCCCGUCUGAGACCUGCAUCACUUCAGGCUUUCCUCCCACAUUAAGCUGACACGCCAGAUAUAACAGGAAUACUGUUAAAAGCUGCAUUAAACCCAACUCACUCACUCAGGUCAUAGUACAAUACAAUGAAGUGUGUAAGAAUACAGGUCACCAAGGUGUACUUCAAACGAAACUGGAGUAGCAUCUGAAACUGAAAGGAAGGGAGAUAACUCUGACGUUAUUUAACCCAACUUAGCUGAGGCACCCCAUGCUCUGUACCUAGGUCCCUAUAACCUUAUAGUAAUGAAUAGCUGUGAGACUGUAACCAGAUGUGUAUAUUGUGUGCUUGUGCCGAAGUGUUUGUUCUUAUAUUUAUAUUAUUAUCAUCACGAUGAUCUCAUGGUCAUUGUUUGCACUGGAUUGUUAAAAGUCCACUUUGACAUUCAGUUAAUUCCCUUGCCUCGGGAAGAUGAGCCAACUCUGCAUGUCUAGUGGACUGUGAGUGUAUGGUCGGUAAUGUCAUGUAAUAAAUGUUUUAUGUAAACAGA